GCCGAAAUAUGUUAGUUGGGAGAGCGUUAGACUGAAGAUCUGAAGGUCUCUGGUUCGAUUCCUGGUUUUGGCA